rnacentral:rRNA from 1 species
CAACAGCUUAAAACUCAAAGGACUUGGCGGUGCUUUACAUCCCUCUAGAGGAGCCUGUUCUAUAAUCGAUAAACCCCGAUAAACCUCACCAUCUCUUGCUAAUUCAGCCUAUAUACCGCCAUCUUCAGCAAACCCUAAAAAGGAAGAAAAGUAAGCACAAGUGUCUUAACACAAAAAAGUUAGGUCAAGGUGUAGCCUAUGAGAUGGGAAGCAAUGGGCUACAUUUUCUACAAUUAGAACACCCACGAAAAUCCUUAUGAAACUAAGCAUUCAAGGAGGAUUUAGCAGUAAAUUUGAGAAUAGAGAGCUCAAUUGAAUCGGGCCAUGAAGCACGCACACACCGCCCGUCACCCUCCUCAAGUGACUAGUCCCUAAAGAAACCUAUUCAAACCACUACAUCCACAAGAGGAGACAAGUCGUAACAAGGUAAGCAUACUGGAAAGUGUGCUUGGAUGA